rnacentral:misc_RNA from 1 species
AGAUGUAUAAAUCAGUUUGGUAUGGGUUCAGUAUGAUUUCUCAUUUCGGUUAUAGUUAAAGAACUGGAACUGUACCAACACAAUAAUAAAAAAAAAUCAAUUUGAUUUCUGUAGUCUAGGUUUUCUUUUCCAGUUUCGGUUCUUUUUGAUUUUUGCUUCGGGGGAAACAAUAACCAUACAAAACCCUAUUACAUUAUACCUUCAAUUAUGCCAACCACAUACAUCUUGUUAACAGGAUUUCUACUUGACUACUUAACUAUGCUAAUAAAUCCUUGUUCAGUAAUAAAUUCAAAGAGUUUGUAGACCAUCUCCAGUCAAAACAAUAUAAAACAACUCUAUAGACCAUUAUAUCUCCUUCACCAACAUCCAAAUAUCUACACCUAACGGCAAAAGAAAGCAACAAAAAGAGACCACAAAAGUGCAUCCCAAGAAACAGUGGACAGUCAACCUAACAACAUAUACAUUUAUCCAAAAAAAAAAAAAAA